rnacentral:rRNA from 1 species
GGUUAAGCGACUAAGCGUACACGGUGGAUGCCCUGGCAGUCAGAGGCGAUGAAGGACGUGUUAAUCUGCGAAAAGCGUCGGUAAGGUGAUAUGAACCGUUAUAGCCGGCGAUGUCCGAAUGGGGAAACCCAGUGCAAUUCGUUGCACUAUCGUUAACUGAAUACAUAGGUUAACGAGGCGAACCGGGGGAACUGAAACAUCUAAGUACCCCGAGGAAAAGAAAUCAACC